rnacentral:piRNA from 1 species
UCCCCUCACUCUGGGCAUCGGUGCCCUU